UGCUUUUGAAAACUCCUUUUAUUUAUUAUCCUCGGCCUUACGGCCACACCCGCCACGCCACUCCAACCAAAAAAAAAAAAAAAAAAAAAAAAAAAAUUUAAAUCAUUACAAGGGUCAUUUAUUUUCAUCAUUCACCAUAAAUAAAUACUUAUCUUUCCUCAACAAUCAUUUAAAUAAAUAUCUGUGACUCAUCGAUAAUAUGUCGGCAACAGAAAAAAAAAAAUGUGUAAAAUGUAUAUAGAUAUAUUUAUAUAUAUAAUAUAUUCAUUUAUAUAGAUUUCUUUCUCUCUCUCUCUCUCUCUCUCUCUCUCUCUCUCUCUCUCUCCUUUAAUUCUUUUACAACUUACAAGAUGCCAACUGUACCAAAGCAAUGCUUACAAAUACAAUAUGGGGAACUUUUAGUGGUUAACUUAAAGACUGUGUUCAGCACCAGUUCCGGUAAAAUGCUUGUACCUAUACACUGCGCCCAUCCCUAUAAUAUGACCCCUCCUUGGAGAGACUGUCUCUUAGGAUUUCACCAUGGAGGAGAGGUUUCAUCAGGGUUAAACGUUGCGAAAAGACGUUUCGGGUCUUUGUGGUUUUGACGAGUAGUAGUAAGCCAAGGUUUUGAGGAUCUUGAGGAUCUUGAAGACCUGGCUUGAUCACUGUUAGACAUGCAGAAUGACAUAGUUGACUGAAAACCGCGUUCACAGACCUUAAUAUUUUUACACCUGAACACUGGAAUUGGACCUUAUGUUCUUUUGAGUCUUCACCCCUUGAAAAUAAGCACGAUCCCGAAAGAAACCCCGUUACAUUACGCUGUUAUCGAUGGCUACGGGUAUAAUUACAGCGUAAUGAUCACUAAACGGUAAUUCCACGUUUACCGGCCUUUUACACGAAGGAGCGAAUGUACUCGCAAGUGUUUCCAAUUUUUGUGACGGUGAAAAAAUACGACCCAAUUACACAGUAAUUAUUAUAGGACAGAUCGUUAUCGUGCGACUGUAACGUAAAAGAAGAAGGAUUUUAUGCGGAACCACAAAAGACCUCUCCUCCAUAAUAUAUAGCCCACUUUAAAGUUCAUUUCGAAGUGUUAGACAGGCCUGUGAUUUGAAGUUAAAUUUCCCGAAGGUAAUAGAAAAUAACGGUUAACAAUAAUACCCAGAUUAAACCAAAUAGAAUAAAAAUAGAAAUACAAUAACAAUCCUACAUAGAUAGAAAAAUAUAGCAAAGGAACUCUAACAACAAGGAGCAGUGUGCAUAUACGGGGGGAAAACACACACACACACACACACACACACACACACACACACCCACGCACGCACGCACGCACGAAACAGAUUUCUUGAUUUCAUUUCUCAUCCC
ensembl:lncRNA